rnacentral:lncRNA from 1 species
GUGCCUGGUCUGUGGUAUGCUGUUACAGCAGCACACUGCAGGCUAAUACAGGUUGGCAACGGGCUUCUCUACAGCCACAUCCUACAGCAGAAACCAUGGAACAACCUAUAAGAAAUAGAUGCCCCAGGGGCAGCAAAGGUGAGCUAAGGGUCUGCAUCCCACCAGACUGCUCUUCAUUAUUCAGGCCACUAACACACAGGUUUGGACCUAUUUUGCUGGUACAUCAGAGGAUGAGCCUUUGCCCAUCAAGAGGAGACAAUUUCUCACAAUCCCAGGUGCUAGAAAGAAGACUAAUGGUUAACAUUAAAUAUAUUGAACUUUGAAACUAUGGCUAAGUGGAAACUAUAUGAAGGAUAAUAAAAUUAUGUGUACAUUUAUACACUCUGAAAAUGUAGCUAACCCACCAACAGACAGAGGAAAGUGGGAAGAGGUGGUGCCUCUCAGUGCCUGCUCAGAGUAAAGGUGGAGGGAGAAGUCACCCUUUAAUGCUGGCAAACUGGGCAGGGGAGGUUCUCUCUAGUUGAGCGGUACUAAGCAAAUAUAAAAGGCAAUCGCUGUAUUGUUUAAAAUUAGGUGGUGAAGAAAAAAGAACCAAUUGUUGCUCAUGAAUGGAAAUGAACAAAUAAUAUGUAAAGCUAGAGGGUCAUUAAGGACAUGACAUAAAAAUUUAAUACAUAGUAACUGAGAACAGGGCAGACCUCCUUCUACGUAUUAGAACAGCAACAUUAGCAAACAAAAUGGCAAUGUGAAAAUUCUAUAUACAUACACAAGCAUCAUGUGAGUCCUUACAGACUAGGGACCAUGCUUAUCUGUUACGCAAGUAAAUAAAAAGCCACUCAGGUCACCUAUUGGAAAGAACUGGAGACUGAAUCACAAGGUUCAUGCAACUCCGUGCCACAUGUGGGUGUGAUAACCGAAAGUGUUGGAGAAAAGUUACGCAAAAGAAGAGAUAACGUCAUGCCAGAAAAUGCAAUUAAUAAGAAAAAGAGGUCAUGGUCUUAUUGUCAAACAAAGCCAAGGAGUAUUAAUAAUGGCAGAAAUGAAACUUUAUAAUUCUCAACUCACACAAGAUACAGAAAGUGUCCAUACAACAGACAGCAGCAGAGCCACAGUUGGCCUAACAAACUUACCAAUAACCGAAGGCCGUGAGUGACCUCACCUGGCACAAGAAACACCAGGUAGCACCCCCUCUCCACAAAAAGGCAAGGGUAAAGACGAUCGGAGCACCAAAGUCGGACACAUCUCGGACAAAUGGCCCCACUCCCCUUUUGUAAGUACCAACAGAACUUUCACACAAAUAGAUCACCUAUUAACUAGACCACAAAGACAAUUCCAAUAACUUCUAAUGAAGUAGAAACAGGACAGGGAAAUCAUCUGAAUAUAAAACAGUCCAGGAUAAGGUCCUUUCACUUGGAAAUAAAAAUGAAACUGUUAAACAAUUCUGGGGUCAAAGAAGAAUUGCAAACCCCAAACAACUUAGUGGGGAUGAAAACAUACAUCAGAAUUUUGGAAUAUGAGUAAAUCAUUGCUAAGGGAAAAGUUG